rnacentral:rRNA from 1 species
UACGUAGGGUGCAAGCGUUGUCCGGAAUUAUUGGGCGUAAAGAGCUUGUAGGCGGUUUGUCGCGUCUGCUGUGAAAUUUCGGGGCUCAACCCCGAACUUGCAGUGGGUACGGGCAGACUAGAGUGUGGUAGGGGAGACUGGAAUUCCUGGUGUAGCGGUGAAAUGCGCAGAUAUCAGGAGGAACACCGGUGGCGAAGGCGGCCCCCUGGUUGGAUACUGACGCUGAGACGCGAAAGCGUGGGGAGCAAACAGG